UACGUAGGGUGCAAGCGUUAAUCGGAAUUACUGGGCGUAAAGCGUGCGCAGGCGGUUGUGUAAGACAGAUGUGAAAUCCCCGGGCUCAACCUGGGAACUGCAUUUGUGACUGCACAGCUGGAGUGCGGCAGGGGGGGAUGGAAUUCCGCGUGUAGCAGUGAAAUGCGUAGAUAUGCGGAGGAACACCGAUGGCGAAGGCAAUCCCCUGGGCCUGCACUGACGCUCAUGCACGAAAGCGUGGGAGCAAACAGG
rnacentral:rRNA from 1 species